rnacentral:rRNA from 1 species
AUUGAACGCUGGCGGCAUGCCUUACACAUGCAAGUCGAACGGUAACGCGGGGCAACCUGGCGACGAGUGGCGAACGGGUGAGUAAAGCAUCGGAACGUGCCCAGUAGUGGGGGAUAGCCCGGCGAAAGCCGGAUUAAUACCGCAUACGACCUAAGGAUGAAAGCGGGGGAGCGCAAGACCUCGUGCUAUUGGAGCGGCCGAUGUCAGAUUAGGUAGUGGGUGGGGUAAAGGCCUACCAAGCCGACGAUCUGUAGCUGGUCUGAGAGGACGACCAGCCACACUGGGACUGAGACACGGCCCAGACUCCUACGGGAGGCAGCAGUGGGGAAUUUUGGACAAUGGGCGCAAGCCUGAUCCAGCCAUGCCGCGUGCGGGAAGAAGGCCUUCGGGUUGUAAACCGCUUUUGUCAGGGAAGAAAUCUUUUGGGCUAAUACCUCGGAAGGAUGACGGUACCUGAAGAAUAAGCACCGGCUAACUACGUGCCAGCCGCCGCAGUAAAAC